AAACUGCGAUAAGUAGUGUGAAUUGCAUUCAGUGAAUCAUCGAAUCUUUGAACGCACCUUGCACUCACUGGUAUUCCGGUGAGUACGCCUGUUUCAGUAUCGUUGAAACCACACAAUCAAAUUUUUUUUUUUUUGAUUGGUCUUGGGCUUUUUAGCUUGGUUCUUAUGAGUCAAGCAGCCUGGAAUGAAUUGUCUGGCUAAUUGCAUCGUUUCUGAUCGCUACUAGACUUUGGCUUUAUAAAUGAACUGGGUUUUUGAUUAACCAGUUUUAGCCAAUGUUGAAUGAUCAUUGUAAUUCGAUCUUAGUGAGGUUAUAGUUCUACUAUAGCAAAAAAAUCAAUCAACUUCAAUAUCGAUCUGAAAUCAGGUGGGACUACCCGCUGAACUUAA
rnacentral:misc_RNA from 1 species